AAGUAGUGAUAUGGAGCAAAACCCAAAAAGCACCCCCAGUUCGGAUUGAAGGCUGAAAUUCGCCUUCAUGAAGCCGGAAUUGCUAGUAAUGGCAGGUCAGCAUACUGCCGUGAAUACGUUCCCGGGCCUUGUACACACCGCCCGUCACACCAUGAGAGUUGGGAAUACCCGAAGCCUGUGAGCCAACAGAUUACUGAGGCAGCAGUCGAAGGUAGAAUCAAUGAUUGGGGUGAAGUCGUAACAAGGUAAC
rnacentral:rRNA from 1 species